AAUUGAUUACUUUAUUAUUGUUUCUCUACAUUUUUACACAUAUAUUUUAUUUAUAUUUUGUUUUUAUGUGUAUCUGUUUGUGUGUCUGUAUGUAUCUGUCAAUGUGCACCUGAGUGUGUGUGUGUGUCUGUAUCUUUCAGUGUGUAUAUCUGUGUGUCUGUGUAUUUACAUGUAUGUCAGUGUGUGUCUGUAUGUGUCCUAUGUGUGUGUAUGUAUCAGAGUGCAUGUGUGUGUAUCUAUGUGUGUGUCUGUGUAUAUUUGGGUGCCAGAUUGCACCUGAGUGUGUAUCUGUGUCUGUGUGUGUAUCUGUGUGUCUGUAUCUGGGUGUUAGUGUGCACGUGAAUGUAUGUGUGUGUAACUGUGUCUGUAUAUUUUCAUGUAUGUCAAUGCAUGUGCCUGUAUCUCCUAUGUGUGUGCAUGUGUGUAUCAGUGUGUGUAUGUGUCUGUAUCUGUGUGUCAGUUUGCACCUGAGUGUGUCUGUGUAUAUGUGUGUAUGUCUAUGUAUCUGUGUCAGUGUGAACCUGAGUGUAUGUGUGUGUAACUAUGUGCCAAUAUGUGUAACUGUGUCUGUGUAUUUGCAUGUAUGUCAGGGGGUGUGUGUAUGUGUCUGUAUCUGUGUGUCAGUUUGCACCUGAGUGUGUCUGUGUAUAUGUGUGUAUGUCUAUGUAUCUGUGUCAGUGUGAACCCGAGUGUAUGUGUGUGUAACUAUGUGCCAAUAUGUGUAACUGUGUCUGUGUAUUUGCAUGUAUGUCAGGGGGUGUGUGUGUUUGUGUGUGUGUGUUUAUAUACUACAGACAAAUGCACGCUUGCAUUCAAACACCAACAUUCAAAUACACACAUACUCCAUUCAAAACCAUGUUUAUAUUCAAACACACAUACACUACUGUGUGCUAAAUACAGCCCUGCAAAUUAUAGAUCCAUAGCUAGCAAAGCAUUCUGGGACUUACAACAGAUUCGGAUCUACAUUUGGCCACUUUACACACACUGCAUCCACUAAACACACACUGUAUUGACUACACACACAGACUCUGCAUUCACUCUACACACAUAAUGCAUCUUUGUUGGCAGAUUCAAGGAUGGCCCUGUGGGCGGACUCGUGAGUGGGCACUGGGGGCCCAGACCUUGAACUUUGUCAGGGGCCCCAACAUUUCUGAUGGCAGCCCUGGC